rnacentral:rRNA from 1 species
GAUGAACGCUAGCUAUAGGCUUAACACAUGCAAGUCGAGGGGAAACGGCAUUAUGUGCUUGCACAUUUUGGACGUCGACCGGCGCACGGGUGAGUAUCGCGUAUCCAACCUGCCCUUUACUUGGGGAUACCCCGUUGAAAGACGGCCUAAUACCCGAUGUAAUUCAUUGAUGGCAUCAGAUAUGAAUAAAAGAUUUAUCGGUAAAGGAUGGGGAUGCGUCUGAUUAGCUUGUUGGUGAGGUAACGGCUCACCAAGGCGACGAUCAGUAGGGGUUCUGAGAGGAAGGUCCCCCACAUUGGAACUGAGACACGGUCCAAACUCCUACGGGAGGCAGCAGUGAGGAAUAUUGGUCAAUGGGCGCAAGCCUGAACCAGCCAAGUAGCGUGCAGGAAGACGGACCUAUGGGUUGUAAACUGCUUUUAUACGAGAAUAAUUUGAUGCACGUGUGCGUUAUUGCAUGUAUCGUAUGAAUAAGGACCGGCUAAUUCCGUG